AGUAAAAGUCGUAACAAGGUUUCCGUAGGUGAACCUGCGGAAGGAUCAUUAUCGUACAAUCGAGGUGCGAGGGCUGUCGCUGACCUCCAAAGGUCGUGCACGCCCGAGCACUCUCGCACAAAAUCCAUCUCACCCCUUUGUGCAUCACCGCGCGGGUCCCCCCUUUGCAGGAGGGCUCACGUUUUCACACAAAAUUUGAUACAGUCUAGAAUGUUUUGUUUUUGCGGUCACACGCAAUCAAUACAACUUUCAACAACGGAUCUCUUGGCUCUCGCAUCGAUGAAGAACGCAGCGAAAUGCGAUACGUAAUGUGAAUUGCAGAAUUCAGUGAAUCAUCGAAUCUUUGAACGCACCUUGCGCCCCUUGGCAUUCCGAGGGGCACACCCGUUUGAGUGUCGUGAAAUCCUCAAAACCCCCUUUUCUUUCAUCGGAACGGGGAUUUUGGACUUGGAGGUUCAAUGCUUGCUUUUGCUUUCAAAGGCGAGCUCCUCUUAAAUGAAUCAGUGGGGUCCGCUUUGCUGAUCCUUGACGUGAUAAUAUGUUUCUACGUUUUGGAUCUGGCACUGUUUUCUCCGCUCCUAAUCGUCUCAUUGACAAUGAUGGUGCUUCGGUCCCCUGCCAUCUACGUUGGCGGGAGGCUGGACCCACAAAAAUAAAACCUUGACCUC
rnacentral:rRNA from 1 species